CGGCUAAAGCGCCGGAAAGGCCGCGGGCGACGGCGCAGAACAGGACGGAUGGUCUGUCUGCCUGCAGCAUUGGCCACGCCAGCGGAGAGGCCCACGGCGGAGGCCUCCCUGCAGCGGCCUGCCCGCUCGGCUCAGGAGGCCCCGCCGAGACCCGUCAGCGGCUCCGGCCGCGGUGGAGGCGCCUGCGUCGGGAGUGCCGGCACGAAACCCCCAGGCCUGGGCCCGUCCGUCCGUCCCCCCUUCCCCCGCCGCCGGGACUGGAAGCGGAGCCGCGGCGUUGGCUGAAGGACAGCCCCCGCCACGACGGGGAGGAGAGAGGAGGGAGGGGGAGGGGACACCGCCCGCCCCGGCGCCCCCAGAGGCGGGCGAACACCGCCUGCUCGCCAGCCGCCCCUCGCCUUGCCGAGGCGGCGCUCCCCUCCCCGCGCCGGAGGCCUAGGCCGCCAGCAAGCGGGCGGGGGCAGGGCGGUACCUGCGCUUGAAGUCCGUCUCGAAGGGGCUCAGUGUGUCUGCUGCCGGGUGAACUCUGCUUUCCCACACACCAAAAAAACCGCACACAAACGCCCCCCCCUCACCCGCCUCUAACCAGAUUUGGUGUCAUCAUGAGUGUUGGAAUACAUUUCUCGACUGUUUGAUAGGGUGCUGGCGUGCUCACAGACAAGCUCAGCAAAACAAGACUCCGGGGGCAUCCAUGAGUUCUCAUAAACACUGUGUCUAUACAGCAAAAUGUUGCUUUACUGGACACAAAGAAUCAUAAUCAAAUUAACUAGUUUGGCAAACUCAAAGGAGAGAAGUUCCAGUCCAUAAUCAAGAGCCGGGAAAUUGUCUGGGGUUUUUUUACAAUAGUUAAGUGUUACCUGUGCUGCUGCUUUGGCGCUUCCUGGAGAGAUCACCUGAACAGGAGGUGGCUCAGAGCAAACAUGAUCCCUGGUCCUGACCUGGCUUUGUAAGGCACUUCCAGACCCGACAGAGUCAUCUUUGGGCUGCAGGAUUCUGCACUGUAGCUGUCAUGCACUACUAAUUUCUAGACUGCCCAAUCCCAUACGUUUGAGAUAGUCUGACAUGUGGCAUUGCUAUCCUUAAGGAAUUUAGUUACACAGAAGAAAAUUGAGCCUGAUGCCGAUGGAUGAGAUAGGCUUUAUAGCUUCUCCGUGCAUGUUGGUAAAGGAACAUAACUGUGGAAUACAAGUGUCAUCAAAAUAUUUCUCUGGUUUUGUAAGGAGUUGCAGAAUAAGUCAUUCCUUUUCUGUACAAUGAAGCGUGGAUAUUCACAACUGUAAAAAAACCCAACACUGCGAGCAACAGAAAAAUAACUGCCACAUGUUGUUUUCCAUUUUUCUAGUUUCCUUUCUGUAGAAUGAAGCAUGAACAUCUCUAUUAAAUAAAAAAAAAAAAAAACAAGAAGAAAAACCUUCACCUUUUGUCUACAGUUUUUCUUAAAUCUAAAAAUGUUUUUCAAAUGAACUUAAAUCAUUAGUUGGGUGUCUUGCCUCAAUUUUUCAUCUAUAGAAUAAACUGAAGUAUUUCAGCUUUUAGCAUCUGUAA